AUGAGGGUGUCGGCGGAGGACCUGACGACUGGAAACAAGAGCAGCGUCACCAUCGACAAGGGUGGGCUGAGGAAGGAGGAGAUAAAUCGCAUGAUGCGGGAUGCUGGGAAGUACAAGUCCGAGGACAAGAAACAAAUAAAGAGAAUAAAGAUGGAAAAUGACAAGGACAAGAAACAAAUAAAGAAGGAAAAUGGCGAGGGUUGGCUGAGCAAGAAGGAGAUCGAGGGCAUGGUAAAGAAGAAGCGCUUGUUGCAGGAUGCUGAGAAGUACAAGUCCGAGGACAAGAAGCAAGUAAAGAAGGAAAACGAGGAAGGUUGGUUGAGCAAGGAGGAGUUCGAGUGCGUGGUGAAGAAGAAACGCAUGGUGAAGGAUGCCGAGAAGCACAAGUCCGAAGACAGGAAGCAAAUAAAGAACGAGAGCAAAGGCUCGUAA
rnacentral:rRNA from 1 species